ensembl:lincRNA
UAUAUACAAACGGAAUUUGAAUUUGUGGAAAUGAAUUCUAGAAGAGAGGUGUUCGGCCAAUAGACAGAUAACACUAAAGCAUUGUCAUUCCAGGUAAAGAGGGCCUUGCAGCAGGAAGGAUUCAACCGGAAAAAGCGAGGAUACAGAGACAUCAACGAAAUCGACAUCAACGUGAACGACCCUCUUUUCACAAAGCAAUGGUACCUGAUCAAUACUGGGCAAGCUGAUGGUACUCCCGGUCUCGACUUGAAUGUGGCAGAAGCCUGGGAGCUGGGAUACACAGGGAAAGGUGUUACCAUUGGAAUUAUGGAUGAUGGAAUUGACUAUCUCCACCCGGACCUGGCCUCGAACUACCCGUCUGGUCUUGCCUCAGCUUCCGGUACCUGUUGCUCUUCUUUGGAGGAUUGCCCCGGGGCUCCUGGAACCUGCCCUGCCCUUCUUACGCGGAGAGCUGGUGAGUCCGGGAAUGUCCAUCCGGUCUUGGCACACCCGUUAAUCCUCAGCUGCCUACAGGAGCUUGAAGGCCUUGUCCCAGGUUGGGAAAACGCUGGGCUGUAACCAACCCUCCGGGGCCCCCUGCUGGACGCGCCUGAAAUCGCACCCAGGUUUGGCUUCCUCGCCUGUUCCAGGCUGCUUCCACUCCCACUCUCCAUCACUGGUUUCCCCUGGGAGCACAUCUUUAAUAAAUCACUUGCCCACAAGCCUUCAUCUCAGAGUCUGUGUUGGAAUCCUGACCUGCUUACAUUUGAACAGUCUGGAGCUUCAGGCAAAACAGCAUUUUCCAUCCUGCAUGGCCAAGGCAGAGGAAAUCUCUGACGUAGCAAUAAGAUUAGCUUCUCAACCAUGGUAACCCUGCUGGCUCCCGAUCUACGGGAAAUUAUUUUUCACAAAGAAAGAACCAGUAAUUACUAACCGAUAUUUAAAACCUGAAGCCAAGUGCAGGACGCCGGGCUUGGCUUGGAGUCGUGUUGCUCACCACCGUCCCCUGGACGGCAGGGAGGUCUGUACCUUGAACAUCGGGCACACAGCCCCUCCACACUGAGUGCUCUGCUGGGCGGAAGAAUAGGAUGUAUUACAGUGUGUGGGAGAUAUUUUCAUUAAGCUAUGGAAAUAGGAGGCUUAUGUUUUAUAGCUCAAAUGUUGCCAAUUUUUUAAAGAGGUUUAGUGUAAAUCUCAGCUAUUCAAGGAACCCCAGCUCGAGGGAUCCCACUGAAUCACUGUGAGCAAAUAAUGCCUCCUUCGAUCUUUGUGGUCCUCCAUUUCACCCUCUGUAAAUCAGGGGUGACCAUCUUCCCUGCUUCAGAAUCAAAGGAUUAUAGUGAUUGUCCAUAUUACUGAUAAGAACAGUGGGUCUUUGCCCAUCUAUCCAAAAGUAUACACUGAACUCCUCAGAGCUGCCGCAGGCAUGGAUACCCAUCUGGUGCUGAACUUUGGCCUAUCUCCACCAUCCCCCACAAACACACUCACACAUGUUCUCUCUUGUACUUGUAGAAAAUGUUCCAGAAGACUCAGCAGGAAGGAGCCAGUGCCUGUGGGUGCCAGCAUGGUGACCAGGCAGGCAAUGAGUCACUGGAUACAGUCAGUACCAUGUUGGGAUUCUUCC